UCUGCCAGGGAGCGUCCUGUGAUGGAGGGGCUGCACUGCCACUUUACUGAUGAGGAAAUUAAGGUUCAGAGAGAUGAGGUCAUUUCUUAGAGGCCAGACAGCCUCCUCAGCCCAUUUAUAAGGUUGUUUCUGUGGUAUUUGCCAUAAAGCCAUAGGUUCAUUGAUUUGUUCUUAAGUAGUUCUGAGCCCUUCCUGCAUAUCAGGCAGGGACAAACAGGAAAGUCCCUGCCUUUGGCAAGUGCGGGGGAAAUGAAAUGAUUCUGCUUAGCCGCAUCCAUUGGUCUGAACAAUCACGUCUCAUGACCGCAGGGACGCGGCUUCCCCUGAAUGCGGAUCCUAGAGGCCAGGCAGAAGCAGCAUGGGUUUCCACUCACACGGUAGGUGGCUGUGCAAUUUCGUCUGGAGUCCCCAGACCCCUCCUCAUCCUUCCCAGGGUUGCUCUGAGGCCAUUCCUCGUCAUCUAGGAGGGGUCUACAUAAAAGCAUUUAUAAACACCUCCAAAUGGGAGCCAGGUGCGCCCACCUUUGGAGCACUUUUCUCUACUGCAGAUCUAUCUACUGCUCAUGAAAUCUCUGGAUUUAACUCUGAUGAAAGACUGGAGGCUGAAGGAGAACUUCAAUAUCAUAUAUUUUAAAGGUUGACUCACAGUUUGGAGCAAGAAUUAAAGAACCACGAACUUCAAGGUAAAACGGGCAACGGCGUUGGGGCAAGCCUCUCUGCACCUGCGUGUCCAGCCUCUCCUGCAUGCCAGAAGUCCCCAGGCAGGAGUGUGGUGGGACAUCCGGCUGGGGUGAUGUAAAAUUCUCAAACAAUGAGAUAGAUAAAAAGUACGCAGCCAAAAAGUUCAAGAAGAAGUGUUAUGGAGAUGGAGCAGGCCCUUCGUAAAAACACGAUGUUGGUUUUCUGGAUUUUGUAUGUUUGCUUUUUUUUUUUCCUCAUCCUAAAGAAAUAUUCACUGUCAUACCUAA
rnacentral:lncRNA from 1 species